GAUGAACGCUGGCGGCGUGCCUAAUACAUGCAAGUCGAGCGAACGGACGAGAAGCUUGCUUUUCUGAUGUUAGCGGCGGACGGGUGAGUAACACGUGGAUAACCUACCUAUAAGACUGGGAUAACUUCGGGAAACCGGAGCUAAUACCGGAUAAUAUUUUGAACCGCAUGGUUCAAAAGUGAAAGACGGUCUUGCUGUCACUUAUAGAUGGAUCCGCGCUGCAUUAGCUAGUUGGUAAGGUAACGGCUUACCAAGGCAACGAUGCAUAGCCGACCUGAGAGGGUGAUCGGCCACACGGGAACUGAGACACGGUCCAGACUCCUACGGGAGGCAGCAGUAGGGAAUCUUCCGCGAUGGGCGAAAGCCUGACGGAGCAACGCCGCGUGAGUGAUGAAGGUCUUCGGAUCGUAAACCUCUGUUAUUAGGGAAGAACAUAUGUGUAAGUAACUGUGCACAUCUUGACGGUACCUAAUCAGAAAGCCACGGCUAACUACGUG
rnacentral:rRNA from 1 species